rnacentral:rRNA from 1 species
CUAGUUGGUGAGGUAACGGCCCACCAAGGCAACGAUCGGUAGCCGGACUGAGAGGUUGAACGGCCACAUUGGGACUGAGACACGGCCCAGACUCCUACGGGAGGCAGCAGUGGGGAAUACUGCACAAUGGGGGAAACCCUGAUGCAGCGACGCCGCGUGGAGGAAGAAGGUCUUCGGAUUGUAAACUCCUGUUGUUGAGGAAGAUAAUGACGGUACUCAACAAGGAAGUGACGGCUAACUACGUGCCAGCAGCCGCGGUAAAACGUAGGUCACAAGCGUUGUCCGGAAUUACUGGGUGUAAAGGGAGCGCAGGCGGGAAGACAAGUUGGAAGUGAAAUCUAUGGGCUCAACCCAUAAACUGCUUUCAAAACUGUUUUUCUUGAGUAGUGCAGAGGUAGGCGGAAUUCCCGGUGUAGCGGUGGAAUGCGUAGAUAUUGGGAGGAACACCAGUGGCGAAGGCGGCCUACUGGGCACCAACUGACGCUGAGGCUCGAAAGUGUGGGUAGCAAACAGGAUUAGAUACCCUGGUAGUCCACACCGUAAACGAUGAUUACUAGGUGUUGGAGGAUUGACCCCUUCAGUGCCGCAGUUAACACAAUAAGUAAUCCACCUGGGGAGUACGACCGCAAGGUUGAAACUCAAAGGAAUUGACGGGGGCCCGCACAAGCAGUGGAGUAUGUGGUUUAAUUCGACGCAACGCGAAGAACCUUACCAAGUCUUGACAUCCUGCGACGAUGCUGGAAACAGUAUUUUCCUUCGGGACGCAGAGACAGGUGGUGCAUGGUUGUCGUCAGCUCGUGUCGUGAGAUGUCGGGUUAAGUCCCGCAACGAGCGCAACCCUUACUGUCAGUUACUACGCAAGAGGACUCUGGCAGGACUGCCGUUGACAAAACGGAGGAAGGUGGGGAUGACGUCAAAUCAUCAUGCCCUUUAUGACUUGGGCUACACACGUACUACAAUGGCGUUAAACAAAGAGAAGCAAGACCGCGAGGUGGAGCAAAACUCAGAAACAACGUCCCAGUUCGGACUGCAGGCUGCAACUCGCCUGCACGAAGUCGGAAUUGCUAGUAAUCGUGGAUCAGCAUGCCACGGUGAAUACGUUCCCGGGCCUUGUACACACCGCCCGUCACACCAUGAGAGCCGGGGGGACCCGAAGUCGGUAGUCUAACCGUAAGGAGGACGCCGCCGAAGGUAAAACUGGUGAUUGGGGUGAAGUCGCAACAAGGUAGCCGUAGGAGAACCUGCGGCUG